AAAGGGUGCGUAGGCGGGCAGGUAAGUCAGUGGUGAAAUCUUUGGGCUUAACCCGAAAACUGCCAUUGAUACUAUCUGUCUUGAAUAUUGUGGAGGUGAGCGGAAUAUGUCAUGUAGCGGUGAAAUGCUUAGAGAUGACAUAGAACACCAAUUGCGAAGGCAGCCCACUACACAAAUAUUGACGCUGAUGCACGAAAGCGUGGGGAUCAAACAGGAUUAGAUACCCCGGU
rnacentral:rRNA from 1 species